ACCAAAUUGGUGAUAUGGUAACUGUAGCGGAGAUAUCAGGCCCAAAACUGAUAUCAAACUUAUAUCGGUUUACUGUAGCGACCAUAACAAGUAUAAAACCUCAAAUUUCAGAAAUCCUACCAAUUUGCGCCUCUCAUUUCCCUUUCUUCUCACAACUCGAGGCGAUUUCAUGGGCGAUUCUUCCUUCGAUAAUCUUUCUCUGCAAAUCUUUCAAAAACCCUACCAUUUUCAUCUCGUAUUUGGUUUUGCUAUCGUUGCUCUCUAUUCUCUGCUUGUGUGAUGUGAAUCUGAAACCCUAGUUCUUCGCUUGCGACCAUGGAAGGUUUUCUCUGCAAAACCAUUGGUUUUCCUCUUGUUUCUGUCUGUUCUCUACUUCUAUAGCGCGAAUCUGAAACCCUAGUUCUUUGCUCGCGACCACAAAUCGAAGGUAUUUCUCUGCAAAACCAUUGGUUUUGCUCUGUUCUCUGUUUCUGUGACGCGAAUCUGAAACUCUAGCUCGGUGGCGAGCACAUCGAAGGUAUUUUUUUGGAAAACUUGCAACAGCGACACCUAUUCGCGGUAAGUUCAUACUUAGAACUUUGAUAGCACAACUGCAUUUUUCUCCCCUUUUCCUGAAUUGUUAGGCUAUGAUGGUCGCUUCAUUUCAACAGUAAGAACAAAUUAAAUGUUUUUUUUCCUUGGCUAAGGAAGUUUGGAAGUGCUACAUGUCUUGUUGCAAAUGGGAGGGUGUCCUACAAUAUACUAAUCUGCAGUAGGUGGUCCAGUGGUUUGAAGCUCAAAGUUGCUAGAAAUCUGUUUUGUGCCAUUUUUUUUUGGCAAGAGGAACUCAGACUUGAUGAAGACAAGAAGAGAGAUAUUGGUUUGCUUUGAUUGCAUUAAGUUUCUUGGGCUCAGUAAGGAAGUUUGAUUUUGUUAGUAUUUUUUGUUUGAUCUUUGGCUGGAGUACUUGCUUUGUACCUCCAGUGUGUAUUUUGUAUCAGCAAUAAAAUUGGGAUGUGUGACCCGUUUGUUAUUA